rnacentral:rRNA from 1 species
ACGAACGCUGGCGGCGUGCUUAACACAUGCAAGUCGAACGGAAAGGCCCUGCUUGCAGGGUACUCGAGUGGCGAACGGGUGAGUAACACGUGGGUGAUCUGCCCUGCACUUCGGGAUAAGCCUGGGAAACUGGGUCUAAUACCGGAUAGGAGCCAUUUUUAGUGUGAUGGUUGGAAAGUUUUUUCGGUGUAGGAUGAGCUCGCGGCCUAUCAGCUUGUUGGUGGGGUAAUGGCCUACCAAGGCGGCGACGGGUAGCCGGCCUGAGAGGGUGGACGGCCACAUUGGGGCCGGGGUACGGCCCAGACCCCUAACGGGAGGAGGAGUGGGGAAUAUUGCACAAUGGGCGCAAGCCUGAUGCAGCGACGCCGCGUGGGGGAUGACGGCCUUCGGGUUGUAAACUCCUUUCGCUAGGGACGAAGCUUUUUGUGACGGUACCUAGAUAAGAAGCACCGGCUAACUACGUG